CUUGGCUUCUUACAAACGCACCCCAAGCAGAACACAGACAAGUCAACACAACAAACAAGAUAACACAGCAGGUCUUCAAUUCUACUCCUCUGUCUUGCUAACUGUGAUUAUGGAAGCUUCUGUCUAGAAGACAUGUCUAGAGACAAUAUGAAAGGACAGGCAAGGGAUGGGCUGGAGCAAGAAAAUUCAUAAUUGAUCGCCCUUGUCUUAAGUUGCUUACUGUCUUUCAAGAGCUGGCAUAUUUUUAAAACUAACAGUUUCUCUUCUGGGAAACUUUUGCAUUUGUCUGGAAUGCCCUACCCUACCAUUCUCCCUUUUGAGAUGGUCUCUGUUCUGCAGUUCCUUUGACUAGGGUAAAUGUACUCCUUUUCUGUGGUUGCUUACUCCUUCUCUGCCAUUAUGAAUUUGGUGAUUCACCGUCUCCUUUUGUAGCUUGUUUGCCCUCUUGGGGUCAUGCUUGUAUGCUAUCCAAUAAACAUCUCUGUCAAAUCUC